CCCCGGAGGCCGACUGGACCCUCGGAGGCCGACUGGACCCCCGGAGGCGUGGACCAGAGGCUGAGGCUGGAAGGACCAGGAUGGACCAGGAACCAAAGCUGGAGACCAGAGAAAUGCCACACGGGAUCGGACCAGAGGGAACCUCAGAUGCAGAAGGUGUGGAGUGUGGCAGCUACACCUGGGAUUCCUGGCUGACGGAGGAGUCGUGCUGGAGGAGGUCCUGCCUGGUGGAGGCGGUCCAUCGUGGGGCAGAUGGAGCCUGACUCUAACGCCAGGACUCUGUGGUGUGUAGGAGCUGGGACUCCUGAGGACAGCCAGGCUCCACCAACAAGGAUUCCUCGACAUGAGCUGGACCAGAGGACAGCUGGUGGGGAGCCGUAGAUCUGGAGGAAGACCAUGACUCUACCAGCAAGUAUUCCAUACCAGGACUCCGUGGCUGAGGAGCUGUGUGUGGUCCGACCGGACCCCCCCCCCCCCCCGGAGGCGGACUGGAGCCCCCCCCGGAGGCGGACUGGAGCCCCCCCCAGAGGCGGACUGGAGCCCCCCCCCGGAGGCCGACUGGAGCCCCGGAGGCCGACUGGACCCCCGGAGGCGUGGACCAGAGGCUGAGGCUGGAAGGAUCAGGAUGGACCAGGAACCAAAGCUGGAGACCAGAGAAAUGCCACACGGGAUCGGACCAGAGGGAACCUCAGAUGCAGAAGGUGUGGAGUGUGGCAGCUACACCUGGGAUUCCUGGCUGACGGAGUCGUCGUGCUGGAGGAGGUCCUGCCUGGUGGAGGCGGUCCAUCGUGGGGCAGAUGGAGCCUGACUCUAGCGCCAGUACUCUGUGGCGUGGAGGAGCUGGGACUCCUGAGGACAGCCAGAACUCCACCAACAAGGAUUCCUCGACAUGAGCUGGACCAGAGGACAGCUGGUGGGGAGCCGUAGAUCUGGAGGAAGACCAUGACUCUACCAGCAAGUAUUCCAUACCAGGACUCCGUGGCUGAGGAGCUUUAUGUGGUCCGACCGGACCCCCCCCCCCUCGGAGGCGGACUGGAC